UACGGAGGAUCCAAGCGUUAUCCGGAAUCAUUGGGUUUAAAGGGUCCGUAGGCGGUUUAGUAAGUCAGUGGUGAAAGCCCAUCGCUCAACGGUGGAACGGCCAUUGAUACUGCUAGACUUGAAUUAUUAGGAAGUAACUAGAAUAUGUAGUGUAGCGGUGAAAUGCUUAGAGAUUACAUGGAAUACCAAUUGCGAAGGCAGGUUACUACUAAUGGAUUGACGCUGAUGGAACGAAAGCGUGGGUAGCGAACAGG
rnacentral:rRNA from 1 species